rnacentral:rRNA from 1 species
UCGGGCUUCGACCGGCGUACGGGUGCGUAACGCGUAUACAAUCUGCCUUUCACAUAGGGAUAGCCCGAAGAAAUUUGGAUUAAUACCUAAUAGUAUAUAGGUGUGGCAUCACAUUUAUAUUAAAGCUGAGGCGGUGAAAGAUGAGUAUGCGUUCUAUUAGCUAGUUGGAGAGGUAACGGCUCCCCAAGGCUACGAUAGAUAGGGGUUCUGAGAGGGAUAUCCCCCACACUGGUACUGAGAUACGGACCAGACUCCUACGGGAGGCAGCAGUGAGGAAUAUUGGACAAUGGUCGGAAGACUGAUCCAGCCAUGCCGCGUGCAGGAAGACGGCCUUAUGGGUUGUAAACUGCUUUUGCAGGGGAAGAAUAAGGACUACGAGUAGUUCGAUGACGGUACUCUGCGAAUAAGCAUCGGCUAACUCCGUGCCAGCAGCCGCGGUAAUACGGAGGAUGCGAGCGUUAUCCGGAAUCAUUGGGUUUAAAGGGUCCGUAGGCGGGCUAAUAAGUCAGAGGUGAAAGCGCUCAGCUCAACUGAGCAACUGCCUUUGAAACUGUUAGCCUUGAAUGGUUGUGAAGUAGUUGGAAUGUGUAGUGUAGCGGUGGAAUGCUUAGAUAUUACACAGAACACCGAUAGCGAAGGCAUAUUACUAACAAUUAAUUGGCGCUGAUGGACGAAAGCGUGGGGAGCGAACAGGAUUAGAUANCCUGGUAGUCCACGCUGUAAACGAUGGAUACUAGCUGUUUGGUUGUAAGACUGAGUGGC